rnacentral:lncRNA from 1 species
UAACAUGAAACCCUACCAUUACCCUAUUUUUAUAGGGAUAAUCCAAGAUUAACCCGGCUUAAACCGGAAGCCCCGUACCGUGCGAAUCAGACGACCCAUGCCUGCAGCCGGGUUGGCCUGUGGAAGCAAAUUAAACCUUCCUGCGGAACACGACGGACGAUCGCCAGGGGCACAGCGGAGGACAAGCCGGAGCACCCGACACGGAGCACCUUCGCCAAUGUCGCCGCCAUCAUCUUGUGUUCUUGCACUCUCGAUCUGGAUGUGCCCCUCGA